rnacentral:rRNA from 1 species
CAAGUCGAACGAGAAAGUGGAGCAAUCCAUGAGUAAAGUGGCGCACGGGUGAGUAACACGUGACUAACCUACCCUGGAGUGGGGGAUAACUGAGGGAAACCUUAGCUAAUACCGCAUAACACCUACGGGUCAAAGGAGCAAUUCGCUUCAGGAGGGGGUCGCGGCCGAUUAGUUAGUUGGCAGGGUAAUGGCCUACCAAGACGAUGAUCGGUAUCCGGCCUGAGAGGGCGCACGGACACACUGGAACUGAAACACGGUCCAGACUCCUACGGGAGGCAGCAGUGGGGAAUUUUGCGCAAUGGGGGAAACCCUGACGCAGCAACGCCGCGUGGAGGAUGAAGUCCUUCGGGACGUAAACUCCUUUCGAUCGGGACGAUUAUGACGGUACCGGAAGAAGAAGCCCCGGCUAACUUCGUGCCAGCAGCCGCGGUAAUACGAGGGGGGCGAGCGUUGUUCGGAAUUAUUGGGCGUAAAGGGUGCGUAGGCGGUUUGGUAAGUCUUAUGUGAAAUCUACAGGCUCAACUUGUAGUCUGCAUGAGAAACUGCCGGGCUUGAGUAUGGGAGAGGUGAGUGGAAUUCCUGGUGUAGCGGUGAAAUGCGUAGAUAUCAGGAGGAACACCUGUGGCGAAAGCGGCUCACUGGACCAUAACUGACGCUGAUGCACGAAAGCUAGGGGAGCAAACAGGAUUAGAUACCCUGGUAGUCCUAGCCCUAAACGAUGACUGCUUGGUGUGACGGGUACCCAAUCCCGCCGUGCCGUAGCUAACGCGUUAAGCAGUCCGCCUGGGGAGUACGGUCGCAAGGCUGAAACUCAA